rnacentral:rRNA from 1 species
AUUGAACGCUGGCGGAAUGCUUUACACAUGCAAGUCGAACGGUAGAGGGGGCAACCCCUCGAGAGUGGCGAAUGGGUGAGUAAUAUAUCGGAACGUGCCCAACCGUGGGGGAUAACGUAGCGAAAGUUACGCUAAUACCGCAUACGAUCUAAGGAUGAAAGCGGGGGAUCGCAAGACCUCGCGCGAUUGGAGCGGCCGAUAUCAGAUUAGGUAGUUGGUGGGGUAAAGGCUCACCAAGCCAACGAUCUGUAGCUGGUCUGAGAGGACGACCAGCCACACUGGAACUGAGACACGGUCCAGACUCCUACGGGAGGCAGCAGUGGGGAAUUUUGGACAAUGGACGCAAGUCUGAUCCAGCCAUUCCGCGUGCGGGAUGAAGGCCCUCGGGUUGUAAACUGCUUUUGUACGGAACGAAAAGGUCUCUCUUAAUACGGGGGACUCAUGACGGUACCGUAAGAAUAAGCACCGGCUAACUACGUGCCAGCCGCCGCCGUAAUAC